AGCCGUGCAGGCCAUAUAUUAAUUGGAUAGUACCUUUCAGAGAGAAGUAAAGACAUCAACGGUAUAGACAAACAAUGCUCAUAACAGCUAGCUCUCAUUUAUAAACUCAAUCAAGAGCAGUUUGAUCUCCUAUGUGUUCUUGAUGAGCGUGGAAAUUUCUUCAUGCGUUUCGCAAAUUGGAGAAUCAAAAUGUUGAGAGAGAUUCCAAAUAAGGAGGAGCAGAAGCCAAAUGAACGCAAGACUGUCACGUACGCUCUUCCAAAGUGCCGACAGGCCACCUGCCGUUAAUCCUUUUCAUCCUUGUCUUCAUCGAUCCAGAGGGAGGAACUGCAGCCAUGUAUGGCAGAUGCACUUGAUGGCCAGUAGCAAACAGGCAACAUCAAACGUGGCUGGCUCACAGGGACCACACUGUAGCACCCGGUGCACGAUUCACACAAUUUUUGGAUAUGCCCGAUCAUCCUCUUGUCUUGUAGCUCUUGACAUAUAUAGGAUACUGUGGGGGUGUUUGCGUUGCGUUCCAGCUUAAACACAUCUGCUCUACUUACCUCACCUAUGUGCUCAUGGGCAUCAUCUUUUUGCAUGCUUUGCUGCUUAAAGUUUGUAGCUUAUUUUUUUCUCUAGUGGAUUGCAGGCAGUGAGACCUGGUGAUAAGCACAUCUUUUUUUUUCCCUCUCCAUUGCUCCUGUCCUGUGUGGAUAAAUAUGGAUUACUCCAGCCCAAUCCCAUAACUGGUGGUGGUGACCUGGUCCAUGAUUCUCGAUGUCAAUUGGCUGAUGGUAUCUGACUGUGCAGGAGUAGGACUUGCACAACAGUGGUUUGGAGCCUAAGUGGGGAACUGGGAAUGAGUUCCACUAACCUGCUAGAUAGAGAUAGAUGUAUACCACCGUAUCAAAGCCUGACUGAACGAGCA